ACCCCGGGAAACUGGGGAUAAUGUCCCAUAGGCUACGGAUGCUGGAAUGCUCUGUAGCUCAAAGAUUUAUCGCCACAGGAUGGGUCUGCGGCCGAUUAGGUAGUUGUUGGGGUAACGGCCCAACAAGCCUUUGAUCGGUACGGGUUGUGGGAGCAAGAGCCCGGAGAUGGAUUCUGAGACACGAAUCCAGGCCCUACGGGGCGCAGCAGGCGCGAAAACUUUACAAUGCGGGAAACCGUGAUAAGGGAACUCCGAGUGUCCGUAAAUGCGGACUGUCCGUAUGUUUAAAAAGCAUGCGAAGAAAGGGCCGGGCAAGACCGGUGCCAGCCGCCGCGGUAAUACCGGCGGCUCGAGUGGUGGCCACUAUUACUGGGCUUAAAGCGUUCGUAGCUGGGUUGUUAAGUUUCUUGGGAAAUCUACCGGCUUAACCGAUAGGCGUCCAAGGGAUACUGGCAAUCUAGGGACCGGGAGAGGUGAGGGGUACUUCAGGGGUAGGAGUGAAAUCCUGUAAUCCUUGGGGGACCACCUGUGGCGAAGGCGCCUCACCAGAACGGCUCCGACAGUGAGGGACGAAAGCUGGGGGAGCAAACCGGAUUAGAUACCCGGGUAGUCCCAGCCGUAAACGAUGCGCGUUAGGUGUAUCGAUGACCACGAGUCAUCGAGGUGCCGAAGGGAAACCGUGAAACGCGCCGCCU
rnacentral:rRNA from 1 species